UACAAAUAAUGCAGAAGCGAAUACAUCUUGAAGUCUUUCGACUAUAGAAAACAUUACUGCUGAAUUGCAAACUUUUAAAUCUGUUAGAAAUUAAAUGGUUUUUUUUGUCAAUAUUAAAUGAAAGUCUUAAAGCAAGUUCUGUAUUACUAAAGGUCUCAAGAAGAGAAAGAUAAGGUUUCAUUUCAUAUUAAGGCUGAGUAUGUAUUGUGUUGUUGAUGGUUAUAAAUGUACAUAUUCAUGUACAUACAUACAUAUAUUUAUAAUAUGUAAUUGUGCAUAUGCUACUGAACCUAACUUAAAAUAACUAAUAAACCCGAACAAAAUUUUAUAAUAGUGUAUGAUAUAGAUGAUUAUUAAACAUCAAAAACUGCCACAUUUUUAGAAAUCAUUUUAUUUGCAGUGUAGCGAGAAACGGAUGUAAAGUUGUUAAACUAAGCAAUGGCGGCUUUAAAUGCAGAGAGAAAGUUUAUGAAUGGUUUAAAAAAUAUGAAGUCCAUCAUAUUGUUAAUAUUGCAUUUUAGUUGUGGUCUUCAGCAUAUCAUCGCUUCAUCAGUUUUAAAUAUAAAUGACUUGGCUAGUAUGGAUCGCCCUUUUUUUGACGAUAUAAGCUCAAGAAAUAUUUCGGCUGUUAUUGACGAAACUGCAAUUUUAAGAUGUCGUGUUAAAACAAAGGAAAUCGAACUGUUUCGUGGAUGCGCAAACGGGAUUUACAUAUUUUGACCACUAACAUUUAUACAUAUACUGGCGAUCAACGGUUUUCUGUAAUACACCCAUCAAAUAGUGACGAUUGGGACUUGAAAAUUGAAUAUGCACAGGCUAGAGACAGUGGUAUUUACGAAUGCCAAGUUAAUACUGAACCAAAAAUUAACUUGGCCAUUAUUCUGGAAAUAACUGGUGA